rnacentral:lncRNA from 1 species
CCUUUAGAAAUUGAAAGAGGAGGAGAGGAGGAGAGACCCACAGUUGAUCUCUGAGAAGUGAGUAGCUGGAGGCACCAGGAUACCAGCCAAGCCUAAAGGAUAAAGCAAAUCCCUGGACAUGGCUUUUGAUUCCAAGCUAAGAAGUGCAAGAAGCUCUUCCAAAUACAACUGCAACUGCCAAGAGAUUGAUGGACCAGAGAAUGGCCUCUUCAUUCCAGGCACUUCUAAAGUCCAAGUGGUCAAAUACCAGCCUCUUUUUACCAAUGUUCCCACCUGUUUCAUUCAGCCAAAUUUCAUUAGAUGAAGGAAAGUGU